AAUAUUGGUCAAUGGUCGAAAGACUGAACCAGCCAUGUCGCGUGAAGGAUGACGGCCCUAUGGGUUGUAAACUUCUUUUGUAUGGGAGGAAAAGCAGUUACGUGUAAUGGUCUGCCGGUACCAUAGGAAUAAGAAUCGGCUAAUUCCGUGCCACCAGCCGCGGUAAUAGGGAGGAUCCAACCGUUAUCCGGAUUUAUUGGUUUUAAAGGGGGGGUAGGGGGUUUUUUAAGUCAUUAGUAAAAUUUUGAAGCUCAACUUGGAACGUGUUAUUGAAAAUGUAGAGCUUGAUUACAGAAGAGGAGGGGGAAUUGUUUGUGUAGCGGGAAAUGUUAGAUAUAAACAGAACACGAUAAGGAAGCAGCUGCCAGUCGUAAUGACGGUGAUGCACGAAGCGUGGGAAAGACAGGAUUGAUACCCUGGUAGUCCACGCCGUA
rnacentral:rRNA from 1 species